rnacentral:lncRNA from 1 species
CUUUAAACUCAGAUUUAAAUCUCAAUUAGGGAUUCAUUUAAAAUUUACAGGUGAGGAGGUUUAAAGAAAAUAAAGUGCACCUACAGUUACAAUUAUGUGGCUGAUUGAACAAAGACAGAAACAGCGGGUGUGUCGUCAGGUCUCAGAGAGAAAAGAAAAGAAGACAGGAUCGCGGCCGCACCUCUCGUUUCUCACGCCCGCUCCAUGCCUGCUCUUGAACGGCGAUCAAACGGACAGGGCGCCACUGUCACGAGCGAAGCCAAGAACCACCCUUGCCAAGACUUGUCAACUCAACCAUCUCACCCACACAGAAAGACAAGGACCUUGGUAUCACGUUAGACAACUGUCCUUUAGUCUGUUUAUAAAACGUUUGCAAGACCUUCUCUUACCUGCUCAGAUUCUGCGUCAGGCCUCAGUCGGAUCCCAUCUUCACUCCUGCAACUUACUUCAAGCUGGCCUCCCUUGUUAUUACAUGGUAUGCCGCUCUCACUUGGCUCCAGUUGAUCACCAACUGCUUCAUUAUACACUCUCUCUUGAUAGGAUCCGUAAAGCCAUUAAACUGUUCAGAACCAACAACAAAAUCGCUCCUUAAUGCCAUGAAAGAGGAAGUCAUCCUCUACAGCGAUGCAAGGCCAGUUAUAAGUCUGAGUACUCCCACCAAUGUCACCGUGGACUUGACUCUCUAUGGAAUCUUAGGAGUG